rnacentral:tRNA from 23 species
GGGGGUGUAGCUCAGUUGGUUAGAGCGCCGGCCUGUCACGCCGGAGGUCGCGGGUUCGAGUCCCGUCACUCCCGCCA